rnacentral:rRNA from 1 species
AACGAACGCUGGCGGCAUGCCUAACACAUGCCAGUCGAACGAUUGCCUUCUGGUUAUAUUGGCUCACGGGUGCGUAACGCGGGGCGAUCUGCCCUUAGGUUCGGAAUAACAUCUUGGAACGGCUUCUAGUACCGGAUGAUAUCCCAAGAUCAAAGAUGUAUCGCCUGAGGAUGAGCCCGCGUUUGAUUAGUUAGGUGGUUGGGUAAAGGCCUACCAAGCCGACGAUCUAUAGCUGGUCUGAGAGGAUGAUCAGCCACACUGGGACUGAGACACGGCCCAGAAUACUACGGGAGGGAGGAGAGGGGAAUACUGGAAAAUGGGGGCAAGGCUGAUCCAGUAAUGCUGGGUGAGUGAUGAAGGUCGUAGGGAUGUAAAGCUCUUUUACACGGGAAGAUACUGACUGUACCGGGAGAAUAAGCACCGGCUAACUCCGUG